rnacentral:rRNA from 1 species
UACGUAGGCAGCAAGCGUUGUUCGGAAUUACUGGGCGUAAAGAGUGUGUAGGCGGUGCUCUAAGUUCGGUGUGAAAUCUCCCGGCUCAACUGGGAGGGUGCGCCGAAUACUGAAUGACUUCGAGUGCGGGAGAGGAGAGUGGAAUUCCUGGUGUAGCGGUGAAAUGCGUAGAUAUCAGGAGGAACACCGGUGGUGUAGACGGCUCUCUGGACCGUAACUGACGCUGAGACACGAAAGCGUGGGUAGCAAACAGG